UCCCUGGUGGCUCAGACAGUAAAGAAUCUGCCUGCAAUGCAGAAGACCCAGGUUUAAUCCCUGGAUUGAGAA
rnacentral:tRNA from 1 species